CAGCCCAAGCUUUUGGCCAAGGAACUGCUUGACCUCGUGGCAUCUCACUUCAAUCUGAAGGAGAAGGAAUACUUUGGAAUCGCCUUCACAGAUGAGACGGGACACUUAAACUGGCUUCAACUAGAUCGAAGAGUCUUGGAACACGACUUCCCCAAAAAGUCGGGACCAGUGGUUUUAUACUUUUGUGUCAGGUUCUAUAUAGAGAGCAUCUCAUACCUAAAGGACAAUGCCACCAUAGAGCUCUUCUUCCUGAACGCCAAGUCCUGUAUCUACAAGAGGCAUACCUUCCGAGAAAUAAGAAAAGAGGCUCCCGGGACUUCCCUGGUGGCGCAGUGGUUAAGAAUCCGCCUGCCGAUGCAGCGGACACGGGUUCGAGCCCUGGUCCGGGAUGAUCCCACAUGCCGCGGAGCAACUAAGCCCGCGUGCCACAACUACUGAGCCCGCGUGCCACAACUACUGAAGCCCGCGUGCCUAGAGCCCGUGCUCCGCAACAAGAGAAGCCACAGCCAUGAGAAGCCCGCGCACCGCAACCAAGAGUAGCGCCACAACUAGAGAAAGCCUGCGCACAGCAACAAAGACCCAACGCGGGCAUAAAUGAAUGAAUGAAUGAAUGAAUGAAAGAAAAGAGGCCCCCCACGCUGAAGGACCUUCCACUGCUAUUCAGUUCCUCAGAGGAGCAAUUUGAUCCUUAGAUGAUUUAAGUUGGGUGAAGUGAGGGCCUGGUCAAAAUAACUAGCUGCCCUGUUAUGAAUCUCAUGUUUGAACGGAAGGGGUUUGACCAUCCACUCUUUAUAUACAUCCAUCACAUUUAAAUGCUUGAUCUCAAAGUUUGUCUUGUCCGAAAUGAUAACCAAAGAAACAGGGCCCGUGGCCACCAUCUGAAGACGCACAGAAAUGUGUCUCCUGGGUUGGAGGAGAAGUUGGCACCAGCAUUUCUCUGAGUGAAUUUUGACGAUCACCUUCCACUGACCUCUCACUAAACAAGGCGCAUAGUCAAUGCUCAGUAAAUUGUUUUUAAUGGCUUCGUUUCCAAUCCCAGGGAGCAAGGAUUUGCAUAUUUCCUAGGAAAUUACCAAGUUUGGAGCCUACAUGUACCCACUGAGAGCAGAUCAUGUCAGAAAAACAAACAAACUUAAAAUUCCUCCUUUCUGUGCACUGGGGGGUCUUGUCCAGCCUUCUGUGCCUAGAUAUCCGCAUUGAACUAAGAACGUCAUUUAUGAUGGAAGUCUAAACAGUCAUCCCUGGGCCAAGUUUGCUGCUUUGGUCUAAAUACCAUCACUCUUGCUGAAAUUAAAAUAAGCAAUCUUUAUCUAAGAUCUUCCAAGAGAUUUGCUAAUGAGCAGAGGAUAUCUCCUCUGAAGAUGAGAGAAACAAAAGCCCAGAAUCAAGUUCCACAGGACAAAGGAACCAACAUAAACAUUUGUCUCAGACUCACAGAAUCCUGGUCCUUAUCUCUUAGAUGGAGGAUUGCCAGCUUGGUGUGUGUGCUCACGUGACAGAGAGAGGAAGAGAAGGAGGACAAAGAGGGACUUCCAUCUUCAACUCUCUAGAAAUAAACAUACGCAGACCCAUCAUCUGGGCUGUGCCCGUGACCUCUACAGGAGAGAUUCCUCAGGAUCGUGAAAUGGACUGUAUGCGGUGGACAGCGGGAGAAAUACCCGGGCCACCGAGUGAGAGAGUGCCCCAGAGAAACAUGAAGGGACUUGACUGAUGAAAAACUGGCAAAGGGCUCAGAGAGGAAUUGUGGAAGAUCACAUCAGCCUCACCCGGCUCCUCAGCCCCUGAUUGCCUGGGGCACCUUCCCGUAGCCACUGUAGGUUGUGCAGUGAGACAGGGCGUCACGUGGGCUCAACGAGGCUGAAUGUGGGUGUCAGGACCCACUGGGAUGUUAUACGUGGUGACCGAUACACACACACAUGUAGACACACACAAACAAUGCUGCCCACCUCCUUAAAAAAUAAGUCUUAGGGCUUCCCUGGUGGCACAGUGGUUGAGAAUCCGCCUGCUAAUGCAGGGGACACGGGUUCGAGCCCUGGUCUGGGAGGAUCCCACAUGCCGCGGAGCAACUGGGCCCGUGAGCCGCAACUACUGAGCCUGUGCGUCUGGAGCCCGUGCUCCGCAACAAGAGAAGCCACCUCAAUGAGAAGCCUGUGCACUGCAACGAAGAGUAGCCCCCGCUCGCCAC